rnacentral:lncRNA from 10 species
GGAGAAAGGGAGGAAAGGGAGUAGAGAAGGCCACACACAAUCUUAAAUUCAAUAUUUCACUCCCGUUAAAGAUAAGCUGUUUAUAAGCUCCAGUGUAGGGCAUGUAAUUCUAUGUAAAAACUCUGUGGUUCCUCUUCCCACAUGUAAAUCAUGAUCACUCUACAUUCUGCUCUCUGGGAGCCCUCAAGGCAAAGAGACAACAAGACUCGAGACCACAGAAAGGACUUAUCACAAGUCUUUGUGGUAGCUGAGGAGUGCCCCCUACAGACUGAUAUGCACAAUGCAAGCAGAUGAAGAGGAAAGAACUGAGCAGCAGUAUUUCAGGAUUCUCAAUAAGGCAUCAAUGAAAAAAGGUCAAAACUGUGAUCCCUGCUACUUGGGAGGCUGAGACACAAGAAUUGCUUGAAUCCAGGAGGCGGAGGUUGCAGUGAACCAAGAUCAUGCCACUGAACUCCAGCCUGGGUGACAGAGCAAGAGUCUGUCUCAAAAAAAAAAAAAAGAAAAGAAAAAGAUAUUGCUUAGAAAAGUAACUUGAGUCCUGUUGAGCCUAAGUAAAGGACAAUAAUGGAAGUUUCUAGUCUGCAAAAUAUGAAGAUGCCCCUCAGAGACACAGCUGUGGGUGCCUCUCACAAGACAGAUGUUCAGGAAAACUGGGCUGUUGCUCUGGAAUUUUCAAUGAGUUAUUUUACUUGUUUUUGCCUCAGUUUACAGAAAAUAAACUGGCAACAAUAUCUCCUUGUUAUUGUGAGGAUAAAAUAAAAGGUGUGACAUUUCUAUUUUAAAUGUAUAAAAUGCCGAAAAAUUGGAGGCAACUGGAAGGUACAGUAGUGGAUGUGAGGUAGUAAGGGGGAAAAAAGGAUAUGUAAAUCACCUAAGAUGAAAUAGACAUUCAGAAGGCCGUAACGUGAAGUGUGAGUGACACUGAUUCGCUAAAAAUCCUAUAUAGUGUCUUAAAACAGCAGCAGUAACAACAACAAAGUUUAUUUGAGAGGAGGAAUUCUGGAAAAAAGCUUCUUUCAAAAAAAAAAAAAGAGUCUUCUAGUGCUCAGACAGUUCGUUCCUCUGCAAAGGCGGGUUACUCUGUUGGGGUCCAUUAUAGUUCUGAGGAUGAAUAGGACAGGACAAGGAGAUGGUUCCUGGCCCCUGUUCUCCUGCCACAGAUCUGUCCCACCUCCCAGGCUCCAUGCAUACAGUGACAGAGAUGGAAAGCCCAGAACCAGUCCCUUUAAUGCACUUAUUUGCAAAACAAGAUGUCACUAUGCAGCAGAGUGACAGUCCUUUCCCCUGGAACUGUCCCAGAGUUCUCCAAGCUGAAGCCAGGGCUACAUUCACCAUCUCAGACUCCUGCUGAGCUAAGUAACCACCCUCUCCUACCUUCUCUUCAGGAGCCCUGGCACCCUUGCUCUGGGGAGAGUUUGAAGAGCAACCUGAAAGUUCCCACAGUUUUUCCUCAAAUCUGGGUUUCCAUGAGCAUGGGCCACCAGUCGGGAGAGCCACAUGCCUGCCCUUGCCUGGCUCAAGACUGUCACUCUGUCAGAUUCAUAUCGCUCUCUGACCCUUAGCCUUCCAGUCUGGAUCUUGACCUUGAACUGGACUCUGUAGGAAGUUCUUAACAUUAAAGGAAGUUAUUUAUCUCUUUUCAACUAACCCAAGCACUUUCUAGCACCUUUUAGCAGUUUAAGCUCUAUGACUCCAUUGGAUAAAAUGCUGGGGAGCAGGACAUUGACACAGUCACAGAAUAUCACACACGGAAUCCUCAUUCAUUCCCCCAGGGAAACAGCACCUGUAGAAGACAAAUCUGGUAGACACUACUGUGACAGGUGAUUUUAUAUGUCAGCUUGACUAGGCCACAGGAUGUGUAGACAUUUGUCAAAUUUUUUUUUAUAUGUCUGUGAGGAUGUUUCUGGAUGAGAUUAACAUUGAAUCAGUAGACUGAGUAAAGAAGACCGCCCUCCCCAGUGGGGGUGUCCCUCAUCCAACCUGUGGAAGCCCUACAUAGAACAAAAAGGCUGAACCUCCCCCAAAAUACGGUGAUCUCAAGCUGCCUGACUUCUGGUGCUGGAACAUUGUUCUUUUUCUGCCUUCCGACUCAAACUGAAAAUCAGCUCAUCUUGUAUCCUGAGUCUGCUGGCUUCCAGACUGAACUAUACAUUGACUCUCCCAGGUUUCCAGCUUGCAACUGCUGGUCUUGGGACUUCUCAGCCUCCAUAAUCAUGCAUUAGCCAAUUUCUAUAUAGAUCUAGAAAUUCAUAUAUAUAUAUGUGUGUGUGUGUGUGUAUGUGUGUGUGUGUGUGUACGCAUAUAUAUACAGUCAUGAAUCACUGAGCAGUGGGCAUACCUUCUGAGAAAUGUGUCAUUAGGCACUGUUAUCAUUGUGUGAACAUCAUAGUGUACUUACACACACCUAGACGGUAUAGCCUACAACACACCUAGGCUAUAUAGUAUAACUUGUUGCUGGUAGAUUACAAACCUGUACAACCUGUUACUGUACUGAAUACUGUAGGCAAUUGUAAAACAAUGGUAAGUAUUUGUGUAUCUAAACAUAGCUAACCAUAGAAAAGGUACAGUAAAAAUACUGUAUAAGAGAUAAAACAUGGUGUGCCUGUAUAGGUUGCUUACCAUAAAUAAAGCUUGCAGGUUGGAAGUUACUCUGGGUGAGUCAGUGAGUAAAUGAUGAGUGAAUGUGAGGCCCUUGGACAUCACUGUACCCUACUGUAGACUUUAUAAACACUGUACACUUAGGUUACCCUAAAUCUAUUUUAAAAUUGUUUUCUUUCUUCAAUAAUAAAUUACCCUUAGCUUACUGUAACAUUUUUACUUGACAAACCUUUUAAUUUUUAAAAUUUUCUGACUGUUAUAAUAAUACUUAGCCUGAAAUACAAAUGAAUUGUCUAAGUGUACAAAAAUAUUUUCUCUCUUUAUUUUUAUUUUAUGAGCUCAUUUCUAUUUUUAAUUCUUUUAACUUUUCAAAAUUUUUUAUCAAAAACUAAGACUCAAACACACAUUAGCCUAGGCCUACAGAGGGUCAGGAUCAUCAACAUCACUGUCUUUCCCCUCCAUAUCUUCUCCCACUGGAAGGUCUUCAGGGGCAAUAACAUGCAAGAACUGUCAUCUGUGAUAACAAUGCCUUCUUUUGGAAUACCCCCUGAAGGACACACCUGAUGCUGUUUUACAGUUAAUUUUUUUAUAUUAGUAGAAGGAGUACACUACAAAAUAAUGAUCGAAAGUAUAGUAAAUACAUAAGCCGGUAACAUAGUCAUUUAUUUUCAUUAUCAAGGACUAUUUACUAUACACGAUUGUAUGUGCUAGAUUUUUAUAUGACUGUCAGCAUAGUAGGUUUGUUUGCACCAGAAUCACCACAGACACAAGAGUAAUGCAUUGAGUUAUGAUGCUACAAUGGCAGUAACAAGUCGGCUGAUAGGAAUUUCUCAGCUCCAUAAUAAUUGUGCAAGACUGCCAUCAUAUAUUCACUCUACUGUUGACCAAAACCUCAUUAUACAGCAUAUGACUGUCUAUAUAUAAACAAAGAACCAUAUUUUUGAGGAAUUUUAAUUUUUUAUUUAAGAGUAAAGUGUAAUAAGGGUAAAGUGUCUGUGAUUUGUUUAAAUUCUUCAGAAAAAAAGGAAGAAAAACAGGAUAGAAAAAACAAUACAGCAGAAUCUUGCUAAAUGAGUGAUGCCAAUGUCGGCAAGUUGGGUGAUGGAUACAUUGGGGUUCACUGCAAACUUUAUAUUUGUGUAUGUUUGAA